AUGUUGGAACUCAAGAGUUCCCUAAAGAGCAAAGAAUUCAAUGUGAAAAUGAAACUCAUGAACAAACACAACACCACAAGAAUUCAACAAGACAAAACUUGUUGCUUCUUCACAUAUUACAAAUGGUUCCUUUGGCUUUGUCUUUCCCUUUAUUUCUUCACUUCUUAUCUCAUCACCAAUGACCCACAAGACACAAGUUCCAAAUCCAACGUUGUUUCUCAUUCCUCUUCAACCCAAAACAAUCUAAG